rnacentral:rRNA from 1 species
AUUGAACGCUGGCGGCAGGCCUAACACAUGCAAGUCGAGCGGAUGAGUGGAGCUUGCUCCAUGAUUCAGCGGCGGACGGGUGAGUAAUGCCUAGGAAUCUGCCUGGUAGUGGGGGACAACGUUUCGAAAGGAACGCUAAUACCGCAUACGUCCUACGGGAGAAAGUGGGGGAUCUUCGGACCUCACGCUAUCAGAUGAGCCUAGGUCGGAUUAGCUAGUUGGUGAGGUAAAGGCUCACCAAGGCGACGAUCCGUAACUGGUCUGAGAGGAUGAUCAGUCACACUGGAACUGAGACACGGUCCAGACUCCUACGGGAGGCAGCAGUGGGGAAUAUUGGACAAUGGGCGAAAGCCUGAUCCAGCCAUGCCGCGUGUGUGAAGAAGGUCUUCGGAUUGUAAAGCACUUUAAGUUGGGAGGAAGGGCAGUAAGUUAAUACCUUGCUGUUUUGACGUUACCAACAGAAUAAGUACCGGCUAACUUCGUG